AUUGAACGCUGGCGGCAGGCUUAACACAUGCAAGUCGAGCGGGGUGAUGGUGCUUGCACUAUCACUUAGCGGCGGACGGGUGAGUAAUGCUUAGGAAUCUGCCUAUUAGUGGGGGACAACAUCUCGAAAGGGAUGCUAAUACCGCAUACGUCCUACGGGAGAAAGCAGGGGAUCACUUGUGACCUUGCGCUAAUAGAUGAGCCUAAGUCGGAUUAGCUAGUUGGUGGGGUAAAGGCCUACCAAGGCGACGAUCUGUAGCGGGUCUGAGAGGAUGAACCGCCACACUGGGACUGAGACACGGCCCAGACUCCUACGGGAGGCAGCAGUGGGGAAUAUUGGACAAUGGGGGGAACCCUGAUCCAGCCAUGCCGCGUGUGAGAAAAAGGCCUUAUGGUUGUAAAGCACUUUAAGCGAGGAGGAGGCUCUUUUGGUUAAUACCCAAGAUGAGUGGACGUUACUCGCAGAAUAAGCACCGGCUAACUCUGUGCCAGCCGCCGCGGUAA
rnacentral:rRNA from 1 species